rnacentral:rRNA from 1 species
GACGAACGCUGGCGGCGUGCUUAGCACAUGCAAGUCGAACGGAAAGGCCCUGCUUUUGUGGGGUGCUCGAGUGGCGAACGGGUGAGUAACACGUGAGUAACCUGCCCUUGACUUUGGGAUAACUUCAGGAAACUGGGGCUAAUACCGGAUAGGAGCUCCUGCUGCAUGGUGGGGGUUGGAAAGUUUCGGCGGUUGGGGAUGGACUCGCGGCUUAUCAGCUUGUUGGUGGGGUAGUGGCUUACCAAGGCUUUGACGGGUAGCCGGCCUGAGAGGGUGGCCGGCCACAUUGGGACUGAGAUACGGCCCAGACUCCUACGGGAGGCAGCAGUGGGGAAUAUUGCACAAUGGGCGGAAGCCUGAUGCAGCAACGCCGCGUGCGGGAUGACGGCCUUCGGGUUGUAAACCGCUUUCGCCUGUGACGAAGCGUGAGUGACGGUAAUGGGUAAAGAAGCACCGGCUAACUACGUG